rnacentral:pre_miRNA from 1 species
AAUGUAUGACACCAUUGACUUUUUGAUCGACGUUUGACCAUUCGUCUUAUUAAAAAAAUUAUGUCAUUAUCAUUUAUUUUAUUAUGACUUGAUUUAUCAUCAAAUAUUCUUUAAGCAUGACAUAAAUAUUUUUAUAUUUACAUAAAAAUUUUGAAUAAAACGAAUGGUCAAACGUUGGUUAAAAAGUCGACGGCGUCAUACAUU